rnacentral:antisense_RNA from 1 species
GGCGGCCGCGGCUCCGCCCCGGGUUCCCACCUCCUGAAGGGCGAGAGACAAGCCCGACCUGCUACGGAUGUGGAAACAGCAAGAGAACUAGAAUUGGAAGUAAAGCGUUGAAGAUGUGACUGAAUUGCUGCAAUCUCAUGAUCAAAUUUGAAUGGAUGAGGAGUUGCUUCUUAGGGAUAAGCUAAGAAAGUGGUUUCUUGAGAUGGAAUCUACUGGUGAAGUUGCUAUGAACAUUGUUAAAAUGACAAAGAUUUAGGAAUUACAGAAACCUGGUUGAUAAAGCAGUGCAAGGGUGUGAGAGAGUUGACUUCAAUUUUGAAAUAAGUUCCACUGGCUGAGUGUGGUGGCUCACACCUGCAAUCCCAGUACUUUGAGAGGCCGAGGCUGAUAGAUCACUUGAGGUCAGGAGUUCAAGACCAGCCUGGCCAACAUGGUGAAACCCCACCUCUACCAAAUUAGCCAGAUGUGGUACACACCUGUAGUCCCAGCUACUUGGGAAGCUGAGGCAG